rnacentral:lncRNA from 10 species
CAGACGUGAGCCACCACGCCCGGUCAAGAUCUACACUUCUAUCAAGGGAGUUUAUGGACGAAGUGGUGAUAGAUAUAAAGAAAACUAGGCAAAUGAGAAAAGGAGAAUAUUAUUAACUUCAGGGGGAAAAGUUGUACAACAAAACAUAACAUACUACUUGGUUCAGUUGUAAAUAAUUUUUGCUUAGUCAUCAUAAUCUCAAAACUGACUAUUGGCCGGGU